rnacentral:rRNA from 1 species
GUCUAUACCAUACCACCCUGAAUGCACCCAAGUUCAAAUAAUCUUGGAAGCUAAGCAGGGUCGGGCCUGGCUAGUACUUGGAUGGGAGGCCGCCUUGGAAUAUGGAGUGCUGUAGGCU